UGCCAGCCGUUUCCUUCCUGUUUAUAUACUUUUCACGGAUAAAUUUAAAUAAAAUUUUUUUUAACUACUUAUGCGCACGUCAAACAGUGAAGUUUUCUCCUAUUAAAAGGUGUUCCCUUUUGUGUAAUAACAUUACUGUUGUAAAUCGUAUAUCUGUAAAAUUACCGUCACGAAAUUACUGCGAUUUUGGAGGGCUGAUAGCAUUAAAGUGUUUUAAUAAUGUAGACGGGAGUAGGUGGACCCCUUAUGAAGACGAAUUUUACACUUUUCAUAAAAAGAUGCGCAGAAGACAUAAAAAGAGGAAGCACUGCCAAUAUAAAAGGCCUAAAGAUGAUCCACAUUAUUGGAAAAAAGUCUACAGGAAACAAAAGCAGAGGGCAGAAAUUUUAAAAACUUUAUAUGCUCAGUUAGAACAAAAAAAGU